UUGAACGCUGGCGGCAUGCCUUACACAUGCAAGUCGAACGGUAGAGGGGCAACCCUUGAGAGUGGCGAACGGGUGAGUAAUAUAUCGGAACGUGCCCAGUCGUGGGGGAUAACGCAGCGAAAGCUGCGCUAAUACCGCAUACGAUCUAUGGAUGAAAGCGGGGGAUCGCAAGACCUCGCGCGAUUGGAGCGGCCGAUAUCAGAUUAGGUAGUUGGUGGGGUAAAAGCCCACCAAGC
rnacentral:rRNA from 1 species